rnacentral:rRNA from 1 species
UACGUAGGGGGCAAGCGUUGUCCGGAUUUAUUGGGCGUAAAGCGCGCGCAGGCGGUCUCUUAAGUCUGAUGUGAAAGCCCACGGCUCAACCGUGGAAGGUCAUUGGAAACUGGGAGACUUGAGUGUAGGAGAGGAAAGUGGAAUUCCACGUGUAGCGGUGAAAUGCGUAGAGAUGUGGUGGAACACCAGUGGCGAAGGCGACUUUCUGGCCUAUAACUGACGGUGAGGCGCGAAAGAGUGGGGGGCAAACAGG